rnacentral:rRNA from 1 species
AGGCAGCAGUGGGGAAUAUUGCACAAUGGGCGAAAGCCUGAUGCAGCAACGCCGCGUGAGGGACGAAGGCCUUCGGGUUGUAAACCUCUUUUCUGGGGAAAGAGACAGGACGGUACCUCAGGAAUAAGUCUCGGCUAACUACGUGCCAGCAGCCGCGGUAAAACGUAGGAGGCGAGCGUUAUCCGGAUUUACUGGGCGUAAAGCGCGCGCAGGCGGUUCCGUUAGUCGGACGUGAAAGCUCCUGGCUUAACUGGGAGAGGCCGUUCGAUACUGCGGGACUUGAGGUUGGGAGAGGGGUGUGGAAUUCCCGGUGUAGUGGUGGAAUGCGUAGAUAUCGGGAGGAACACUUGUGGCGAAAGCGGCGCCCUGGCCCACACCUGACGCUGAGGUGCGAAAGCGUGGGUAGCAAACAGGAUUAGAUACCCCGGUAG